UCUUUUCAGGUCUGUGGUUGCGAAGCUCUUUAUGUGCUUUUAGUCCAUGACAGACGAGGUCAAAAGGAUCCACGUAAGUUUAUGUGUGCGCACGUAAACGAUCAUGGCUCGUCCUAGAAGUAAGCCAUACCGCCUGUUAUAACAAAGAGACAAAGGGUCUCGCAGGCGAGAGAGCUAUUAGUGGAGUUACUGCGGUAGCAAAGCAAACGCUCCAGUAUGCGAGUGUGGGGUCAAAUACCAGGUCAGCUGAAAAGA
rnacentral:ncRNA from 12 species